CUACCUUGGUGAAUCUGAGAGUGACACAGCAAUCAGUGAUGCAGGCCCGGCAGAAGCGGCAGCCACAGAAGAUGCUCACAGGUCCGUCGUGUGCUCCAGGCAGACAGUGCAGAUCACAUUCUCUGCAAUGUUUCUACUUGGCUGUGUCCAGGCCGGGUCCCAAAGUCCAUGCAUUUACUGCCUUUGGCUUCAUGGAUGAGCAACCCUUCCAUCCACGAUGACAGUGAGAGGAAGGUGAAGUCUUGUGUUCAGUGGUUGAUGGAGGAGCCAAGUUCCUUUGAUGACGAGACCAAGAUCUUCACAAGUCAGAUGAAGAUUUUCCACUUAAACCUGGGAAAUGUGCAGCGGUGCUACAACCAAACCAUGGAUCAUGGUCUGAACAAAGAGCAUCCACCAAAUCAAGCAGCCCAAAAGCACAGCCACACAUGGACCUGAGAGACAGAGGAGUUCACUCAUCUCCUUGUCCCUGCUGCUGCUGACUUCUCUCCUUCCAACUGACUUCCUGGUAACAUCUGCUCUCCAAGGUGAAAACAUGAGGAGGGGUCUAGCCAACCCCUGCUGAUGGGCGCUUCCUUCCACCUUGCCUGCUGCUCCCUAGUGGGGCCUCGUAGAUGGUGAGAGGAAAGCAAGUAGGACAGGAAGAGAACUUGACAUUUAUGGUAGUAAAGAGAAGGUAGGAUGUGUGUCUUCAAGAAAGGAAAGGGCUGUCAUUGGGAGGAGGACUGAGUAGUUCCUUGUGGACUGUCAGGUUGGAGCCCUCAGUUUCUUGCUGAAUGUUAGCGGGAGGCUGACAUCAGUUCCCUGCAAUGAAGGCCUUUCCAGCACAGCUGCUGGCUUUGUCAGAGCUUGCAAGCCAAGAAAGACGAUGGAAGAGUCAGCUAGCAAGACAGACACCAUGAUCUUAUAUGAUCUACUCAUAAAAGUGACAUCACUGUUGCCACAUUGGCAUGUUGGUUAGAAGAUGGUCACAUGUCCCUCCCACACUCAUUGGGAGGAGCUUCCGGAAGGGUGUGAAUCCCAGGAGGCAGGGAUCACUGGGCACCAUCUUAGAAUCUGUCUGCACAGGGACAUUCCAGGUCCGAGAAAGCAGGAACUAAGUGAGGUUGCGAGGCCUCUGCACUAGAUGUGUUCAUGCACAGGAUGGAGAAUCACUGAACGAGAUUGUUAUAACUGUGAGCCCUAUGUUAGGCAAGAUGAUCUGCAGAGCUGAGCUGUGUUUGUCAAAGCACGAUUCUGGAUACAAGAAUCGCAGUGUCAUUGGAAAGACUCCUCUUGAGUUUUGUGUGAACCUGAGAAAGUGUCCUCUCUGGAUAUUUCCCUCUUUACUUUCAGACCUCCUACAUCUCUAGGAAAGUGCCAUCACUAAAGUGAGCUGGUUCUUUUUUCCACGUGUCAUUCUGCCAGGAAAAUCCAGGAUCCUACUAUUUCUUCCAGCUGGCUUUCAUACAGGAUCCCACAAAGUCACUUCUUGUGAUUCCACUUGGUUGGUUUUUUCCUCUUCAUUCAGGUCAUUUCUUUGUGACUUUAUUCCCUUGUGUUGAUUAGUCAGCUCCAUUAGGACUAAGCUUUGGACCAAAUGGGUGAAGCUUCUUCUUCAGGUCUCAGCUCACUUCCCACACAGGGACAAGACAAACUUAGUGGGGCUCCCGGAAGGUCAUGAACUGGCACAAUUCCACAUUAGGAUGAGACAUUUAGGUCACAAAGGGAUGUACUUUAGUCUUUUUUAUGUCCAAAUAGGUGGCACAAUACCUGGCACAUAGUAGGCACUCAAUAAGUGUUUAUAGACUUUCGCUAAAUUGAACUCCCUCCUUGACCACCCAACUACUUAUGGACUCAGCUCCUCCUUAAGCUACAUGCCCAAACCUCUUGUUUUACCUUAUUUUUCCAGGUGGGAUGCUGACCAUUUGGGGAACUCUCUUGUCCACUGCAUUUUUCACACGCUCUUGCUUCCAUGACAAGCACUUGAAGUUAACUCAGCACUCUCUGGUCCUUUCAACCUUUUCCCUCUAUCCUCAUCUUCUCACUAUUGUUCUUGCAAAGGUUUUCCCUGUCCACCCCCGUUCUUCUCUGUGGAUCCAGUCUAGUGUCUUUCAGUUCAUUCUCACACUUCGACCAGAGAGA